rnacentral:rRNA from 1 species
AUGAACGCUGGCGGCGUGCCUAAUACAUGCCAGUCGAGCGAACAGACGAGGAGCUUGCUCCUCUGACGUUAGCGGCGGACGGGUGAGUAACACGUGGAUAACCUACCUAUAAGACUGGGAUAACUUCGGGAAACCGGAGCUAAUACCGGAUAAUAUAUUGAACCGCAUGGUUCAAUAGUGAAAGACGGUUUUGCUGUCACUUAUAGAUGGAUCCGCGCCGCAUUAGCUAGUUGGUAAGGUAACGGCUUACCAAGGCAACGAUGCGUAGCCGACCUGAGAGGGUGAUCGGCCACACUGGAACUGAGACACGGUCCAGACUCCUACGGGAGGCAGCAGUAGGGAAUCUUCCGCAAUGGGCGAAAGCCUGACGGAGCAACGCCGCGUGAGUGAUGAAGGUCUUCGGAUCGUAAAACUCUGUUAUUAGGGAAGAACAAAUGUGUAAGUAACUAUGCUCGUCUUGACGGUACCUAAUCAGAAAGCCACGGCUAACUACGUG